rnacentral:rRNA from 1 species
GACGAACGCUGGCGGCGUGCCUAAUACAUGCAAGUAGGACGCAGUUGCGAACGGGUGAGUAACGCGUAGGUAACUACCUAUUAGAGGGGGAUAACUAUUGGAAACGAUCGCUAAUACCGCAUACUAGUAGAUGGACCUGCGUUGUAUUAGCUAGUAGGUUGGGUAAUGGCCUACCUUGGCAACGAGACAUCUCCGACCUGAGAGGGUGGUCGGCCAUAAUGGGUCUGAGCAACGGGCAAGAAUCCCAAGGGAGGUAGCAGGAGGGAAUCGUCGGCAAUGGGGGGAACCCUGAACGAGCAAAGCAGCGUGAGGGAAGAAGGUUGUCGGAUCGUAAAGCUCUGUUGUUAAGGAAGCGGUACUUAACCAGAAAGGGACGGCGAAAUACGUGCCAGCCGCCGCGGUAAUUC